GGAGAGAUGGCUCAGUGGUUAAGAGCACUCACUGCUCUUCUCAGAGGUCCUGAGUUCAAUUCCCAGCAACCUCA
rnacentral:tRNA from 1 species